rnacentral:rRNA from 1 species
AUUGAACGCUGGCGGCAUGCUUUACACAUGCAAGUCGAACGGUAGAGGGGGCAACCCCCUUGAGAGUGGCGAACGGGUGAGUAAUAUAUCGGAACGUGCCAGUCGUGGGGAUAACGUAGCGAAAGUUACGCUAAUACCGCAUACGAUCUAAGGAUGAAAGCGGGGGAUCGCAAGACCUCGCGCGAUUGGAGCGGCCGAUAUCAGAUUAGGUAGUUGGUGAGGUAAAGGCUCACCAAGCCAACGAUCUGUAGCUGGUCUGAGAGGACGACCAGCCACACUGGAACUGAGACACGGCCCAGACUCCUACGGGAGGCAGCAGUGGGAAUUUUGGACAAUGGGCGCAAGCCUGAUCCAGCAAUGCCGCGUGCAGGAUGAAGG